rnacentral:pre_miRNA from 1 species
UACAGUUACCAUUGCUGAUGGUGAUGAUGAUGAUGAUGGUGAUGAUGAUCAUCAUCCUCAUCGUCAUCAUCAUCAUCAUCUACUAAU